rnacentral:rRNA from 1 species
CCUACGGGUGUCAGCAGUGAGGAAUAUUGGUCAAUGGUCGGGAGACUGAACCAGCCAAGCCGCGUGAGUGAUGAAGGUACAGAGUAUCGUAAACCUCUUUUGUCAGGGAACAAAGGCGGGGACGUGUCCCCGGAUGAGUGUACCUGAAGAAAAAGCAUCGGCUAACUCCGUGCCAGCAGCCGCGGUAAUACGGAGGAUGCGAGCGUUAUCCGGAUUUAUUGUGUUUAAAGGGUGCGCAGGUGUUUGGUUAGGUCAGCGGUCAAAGCCCGGGGCUAAACCCCGGCGCGCCGUUGAAACUGGCAGUCUAGAGUUGGAGAGAAGUAUGCGGAAUGCGAGGUGUAGCAGUGAAAUGCAUAGAUAUCGCGCAGAAAUCCGAUUGCGAAGGCAGCAUGCCGGCUCCACACUGACGCUGAGGCACGAAAGCGUGGGUAUCGAACAGGAUUAGAUACCCGAGUAGUC